CUUCCGCUUCUAUAUACACCAACCGAGCAGGAAAACCUCUCACUCCCUCUCUCACUCCAGUCCCUCCUCCUCAAACCUAUCUCCUCCUCCCUCCUCCUCCUCCUCCUCCUCUUCCUCCGCCGCCGCCGUCAACCACCAUGUCGGUCAAGGGUGGUGGCUGUGGGAAGCAUGAAAGCAAGUGGCGGCGGCGCGGCAAGCGCAUCUUCGUUGGCCUCCUCAUCUUCAACUUCAUCCUCCUCCUAACCUUCCUCCUCGCUUGGGCCAUCAUCCAGCCCCACAAGCCCCGCUUCGUCCUCCAGGACGUCACCGUCUACACCUUCAACGCCUCCGUCCCCAGCCUCCUCACCAUCAACUUCCAGGUCACCAUCUACUCCCGCAACCCCAACGACAAGCUCGGCAUCUACUACGACCGCCUCGACACCUACGCCACCUACCACAGCCAGCAGAUCACCUACCGUUCCCAG
rnacentral:lncRNA from 1 species